GACGAACGCUGGCGGCGUGCUUAACACAUGCAAGUCGAACGGAAAGGCCUGCUUUCCCUUGUGGAUUGCGGGUACUCGAGUGGCGAACGGGUGAGUAACACGUGAGUGAUCUGCCCCCAACUUGGGUAUAAGCCUGGGAAACUGGGUCUAAUUCCCGAUAGGACUGCAGGGUGGUGCCUGUGGUGGAAAACGAUUUUCUAGUGGUUGGGGAUGAGCUCGCGGCCUAUCAGCUUGUUGGUGGGGUAAUGGCCUACCAAGGCGGCGACGGGUAGCCGGCCUGGGAGGGUGGACGGCCACAUUGGGACUGAGAUACGGCCCAGACUCCUACGGGAGGCAGCAGUGUGGAAUAUUGCACAAUGGGCGGAAGCCUGAUGCAGCGACGCCGCGUGGGGGAUGACGGCCUUCGGGUUGUAAACUCCUUUCGACCGCGAGGAAGCCACCUGGUUGGAAGGGUGGUGACGGUAGUGGUAGAAGAAGCACCGGCUAACUACGUG
rnacentral:rRNA from 1 species